CCUACGGGAGGCAGCAGUCGAGAAUUUUUCACAAUGGACGAAAGUCUGAUGGAGCGACGCCGCGUGGAGGAUGAAGGUUUUCGGAUUGUAAACUCCUGUCACUGCAGAACAAGGAUAUGUUUGUUAACAGCAAAUGUAUUUGAUGGUAUGCGGAGAGGAAGGGACGGCUAACUCUGUGCCAGCAGCCGCGGUAAU
rnacentral:rRNA from 1 species